rnacentral:lncRNA from 1 species
AUGUGCCAGCCCCGGGAUGUGCCAGCCCCGGGAUGUGCCAGCCCCAGCACUGGGAUCUGGUGGCCCUGUCUGGGCAGGGGGACUGGGCCGGGUGAUCUCCAGAGGUUCCUGCCAACCCCAGGUGUGCUGGGAUCCGGGGACCUCAGCUGGAUGCCAGCCCUGAGGCUGCCCCUGGAGCAGGGAAAAGGCAGCCCUAAGGUGCCACCAGGAUGGGGGGACACGGGAGGGACCCCGGGGUGCUGGCACAGCUGGGUGCUGUCCCUGUCCCUUCCAGCUGGGCACUGUGCCUGUCCCAGUGCCUGUCCCUGUGCCUGUCCCUGUGCCUGUCCCAGUGCCUGUCCCUGUCCCUUCCAGCUGGGCACUGUGCCUGUCCCUGUGCCUGUCCCUGUCCCUGCCAGCUGGGCACUGUCCCUGUGCCUGUCCCUGUGCCUGUCAGCUGGGCACUGUGCCUGUCCCUGUCCCUGUGCCUGUCCCAGUCCCUGUGCCUGUCCCUGUGCCUGUCCCUGUGCCUGUCCCAGUCCCUGUGCCUGUCCCUGUGCCUGUCCCUGUGCCUGUCCCAGUGCCUGUCCCUGUCCCUGUGCCUGUCCCUGUGCCUGUCCCUGUCCCUGCCAGCCGGGCACUGUCCCUGUGCCUGUCCCUGUCCCUGUGCCUGCCAGCUGGGCACUGUGCCUGUCCCUGUGCCUGUCCCUGUGCCUGUCCCUGUGCCUGUCCCUGUCCCUUCCAGCUGGGCACUGUGCCUCUCCCAGUGCCUGUCCCUGUCCCUUUGCCUGUCCCUGUGCCUGUCCCAGUGCCUGUCCCUGUCCCUGUCAGCCGGGCGCUGUCCCUGUGUCUGUCCCUGUCCCUGUCCCUGCCAGCCGGGCACUGUCCCUGUCCCUGCCAGCCGGGCACUGUCCCUGUCCCAGUGCCUGUGCCUGUCCCUGUCCCUGUCCCUGCCAGCUGGGCACUGUGCCUGUCCCUGUGCCUGUCCCUGUCCCUGCCAGCCGGGCGCUGUCCCUGUCCCUGCCAGCUGUGGCUCCGCAGGGCCUGGCCCGGCCAGCCCCGGAAUUUGGGAGAAACCAGACUUGCCAUGUUGUGCUGCCAGGGCCAGCCCUGCCCGCAGCCCCACAGGAGCGGUGCCAGCCCAUCCCCGGGGCUGGGAGUGCCCCGUGUGCCACCUCCGGGAUGGGGACUGCCCCAAUUCCUGCCCCAAUUCCUGCCCCAAUUCCUGCCCCAGUUCCAGCCCUGCUGGGACACAGAGGGAAUCUGGGCUUUGCUGGAUUGACACGGUGCAGACCCCCGUGCCCUGGUCCCCUGGGGCUCAGCUGGAGAAAAGGAGGCUCAGGGGGGACCUUCUCCCUUCACAACUCCCUGACAGGAGGGUGGGCUCGGCAUCUGCUGCCAGUAAACAAGUGA